rnacentral:misc_RNA from 1 species
GCUUCCUGUCACUGCAUUUUCUCACCAGGUUAAGGCAAAGUCGAUUGGGAAGAAUAGAUACGAAAUUUAUCCUAGACAAGGUGAGAUUUGGGCAAUAUAUAAGAUCUGGAAUAGUGACUUGAUGUUUUCAGACCAGGAUGCCGGAGAAUGUGACAUUGUAGAAGUGGUAAAAGAUGAUGAAAACGGAGUGAAAGUUGUAGUCUUGAUGCCAGUCAAUGGAUCUGAAUCAUUUUACAUGGCUCCAAGAAGAUUAAAAAGUGGUAUAAUUAACAUAACACGGGCUGAGUUUGGUAGAUUUU